AUUGCAGGCUGCAACUCGCCUGCAUGAAGUUGGAAUUGCUAGUAAUCGCGAAUCAGAAUGUCGCGGUGAAUACGUUCCCGGGCCUUGUACACACCGCCCGUCAAGCCAUGGAAGCCGGGGGUGCCUGAAGUGCGCUGCCGCAAGGAGCGCCCUAGGGUAAAACCGGUGACUGGGGCUAAGUCGUAACAAGGUAGC
rnacentral:rRNA from 1 species